GACGAACGCUGGCGGCGUGCUUAACACAUGCAAGUCGAACGGAAAGGCCCUGCUUUUGUGGGGUGCUCGAGUGGCGAACGGGUGAGUAACACGUGAGUAACCUGCCCUUGACUUUGGGAUAACUUCAGGAAACUGGGGCUAAUACCGGAUAGGAGCUCCUGCUGCAUGGUGGGGGUUGGAAAGUUUCGGCGGUAGGGGAUGGACUCGCGGCUUAUCAGCUUGUUGGUGGGGUAGUGGCUUACCAAGGCUUUGACGGGUAGCCGGCCUGAGAGGGUGACCGGCGACAUUGGGCCUGAGAGACGGCCCAGACUCCAACGGGAGGCAGCAGGGGGGAAUAUUACACAAUGGGCGGGAGCCUGAUGCGGCAGCGCCGCGUGCGGGAUGACGGCCUUCGGGUUGUAAACCGCUUUCGCCUGUGACGAAGCGUGAGUGACGGUAAUGGGUAAAGAAGCACCGGCUAACUACGUG
rnacentral:rRNA from 1 species